UAUAAGUUAAUAUAAGAAGAGUUAAAAGGUUAAAAUGCAAUAAACAAUCACGUUUUUAAGUGGAACUAAAGUUCCAGGUUUUUGGUUCCGCUACGACAGAGUUUAGAGACGGACUGCAUGCAAGGCAGAUGCUCGUUUACUCCCAUGCUUUGCAGUCAUGCACAUGAAGAGCCAAAGGAACUGCAAGAGACACACAUAAGGCCCAAGAACCUCUUCUUGCGACAAGCGGCCAACGAGUUCUCACGGCGUCUUGGUGCUCCACAAGACUGCUCCAACAUUAAACGCCCGUUUCAAAGAA